UCAAGAAAAUUGCUUAAAACCUUCUCCAAAUUCAACUUUAUCAAAAUCCAGUUAUCAACAUUUUCACUAACAAGUCUUAUAUCCUCAUUCCCCACUAGCAGCAAUCAGUUGCAAAGAACCUUUCUCAUCAACUUCUAUCAGCUAACGCCAUAUCUUCUGAUAAAUAGCCCUCCUAUUUUUGUUCAAACUACAUCAUGAAAAAACACAAAUUAGAAUAAAGAACCAUCCUUUACAUCAAGAACCAUCACAAAUAAUAAUAAUAAAAAUAAAAACCAAGACACUGAAUAACAAAUCCACCCACUACUCACACAGACACAAUUCAUCAAACACCUUAACCUCAAACCAUAAACCAAAAAUAAACCAACUUAAAUCGCCUUAAGAGAGAAAUUAAGAGCAACAGAAGGGUAAUAUCUAAUCACACUACUGCCAUUGCCUCUCCAAAGCGAAAGAAUCCCUUCUUAUACGGACAAUACAAUCAACCAUUCCUUUGAAUUUCCUGCGUCCAUUCCCUACAAUAGCCAAAUUGCUUUCUUGGGUUUGUAACUGUUAACGCUAGCAAGAGACAGAUCAAGAAGAUGUUUUAUUAAGCUGCAGCAGUGGCUAUUAAAUAGCCUUACACCGUGACAAAGGAAAAUAACAAACUCACGAUUUUACAGGAUGCAAUCGUGGUUAACAAAGGGAAAGAAACGUGUUCCUCAAACCAGAGAGGAAUUAUUCAACAUAACUAAAAAUAAUCCUAAGACUCAGGAAACAAUCUGGAAUAUUUCAACAUUUUAUCAUCCUCCCUUAAACUGAGUUCUGUCAGUUUAUAUUUGGAGAUUCACACACACCCAGUAACCUUCGCAUCUUCAGAAAGACAUCCAGCUUCAAUGGCUUUGUUAGAAUAUCAGCAACUUGUUCUGUUGUAGAGCACGUAAUUAGUUCUAAUGAACCAUCCUUAACAAGUUCUCGGAGAAAAUGAAACUUGAUAUCUAUGUGCUUGCUACGGCCAUGCAUUACGGGAUUCUUUGAAAGUUUGAUUGCUGAAAUAUUGUCACAAUAUACCUUCGUUGGAGUGUGUUGUGUCUGAUUGAGACUCUUCAGAAUUCUACUUAUCCAUACGACUUGGCAUGCACUUGAAGCUGCUGCUAUGAAUUCAGCUUCGGUGGUGGAUAAGGAAACAACUGGUUGUUUCUUCGACAACCAAGAAAUAGCCCCUGAGCUCAUAAAGAAAACAUAACCCGAGGUGCUUCUUCUAUCAUCUUGAUCACCGGCAUAAUCGCUGUCCGUGUAUCCAAAAAACUCUGCAUUUCCUCCCUUUUUGUAGAAUAUCCCAAAGUUGAUCGUGCCUUUGAUAUACCUCAAGACCCGUUUGGCUGCUAACAAGUGACUUUCAGCAGGACUUUCCAUAUAUCGGCUAAUCAAGCUGACAAUAAACAUCAAAUCUGGACGUGUAGCAGUUAAAUACAUGAGGCUUCCCACUAUUUGUUUAUAGAGAGUACUGUUAACUUUAAUGCCUUCUUCAUCUUUUGUAAGUUUAAAACCAGGAACUGCUGGAUUAUGAACUGAAUUGCACUGAUCCAUUUUAAAUCUCUCCAGAAUCUCUUGUGCAUAUUUACGUUGACUGAUAAAUAUACCGUCUGUUCUCUGUAAUACUUCAAUACCAAGAAAAAACCUCAUUCUACCAAGAUCAGUCAUGUCGAAUGCAGACAUCAUGGAAUUCUUAAAUUGUGCAAACAACAUUUGAUCGUUGCCGGUAAAAAUGAGAUCAUCAACGUAAAGACACACAAUUAGAAUUUUACCUCCACCAGCAGUUUUAAUGAACAAGGUGUGCUCGUAUAGGCACUUUGUGAACCCUUCUUUGAUGAAAUACGCUUCAAUGCGACUAUACCAGGCUCGGGGUGCCUGUUUGAGUCCAUAUAAAGCCUUCUUGAGUCGAUAGACCUUGGAUUCGUGUCCUUUCUGUUCAUAACCUGGGGGCUGAUCAACGAAGACUUCCUCAUUAAUUUCCCCAUGCAAGAAGGCGGACUUGACGUCAAGUUGAUAGAUCACCCAACUGUUCUGUGCAGCAAGCGCAAUGACAAUUCGGAUGGUAUCCAAACGGGCUACUGGUGCAAAUACUUCAGCAUAAUCAAUUCCAUGUUGCUGACAGUAACCUUUGGCAACUAGCCUUGCCUUGUAUUUAUCUACUUCCCCUUUCUCAUUGACUUUAGUUUUAAAAAUCCACUUUACUCCUAUACUCUUCCCUCCUGAUGGUAAUGUCGUGAGCUCCCAUGUGUCAUUCCUCUCUAUGGCUUGCAUUUCUUGGUCCAUGGCACUCCUCCAUCUCUCAGAUUUUGCUGCUUCUUCAUAGGUCAUAGGAUCACUGUCACCUAGCAGGGCCAAGAACAUUGAGUUUCCAGCUUCUUCAUCGGAGAACCCUUGACCAGCAGAAUAAUCUUGCAUCCAGAUUGGUGGUUUCCUGAUUCGUCCCUGAUGCUCCAAAAUGUUGCUAUUUGGAGUAUUUUGUUCCUCAUCAUCGACUCCAGGCUGCAAUCCAUUUAAUGCAGACUCUUCCUCGUCAAACUCAGGCUCCUGUUCGCCUGAAAUUGCUCCCAGGUCUGCAAUUAUUCCAGAAUCAGCUUCCUUUUCUGCUGAAAUGGCUCCCAGUUCUGCAUCUGCUCCAGAGUCAGCUUCAAUUUCCCCAUCAUCUGUAUCUGCUGCUUCUUGUGGCUCCCACUCAAGAUCAGUCAAUAAAUUAUGUUUGUGAUUGUCAUCCCAGCACCAUUGUUGAUCUUCUUCGAACACAACAUCACGACUAACAAUUAUUUUGUUUGAUGUAGGAUUAAACAGCCUAUAAGCUUUAGAUUCUUCACUUACCCCAAGCAGAAUGCAUUUUAAGCUUUUAGCAUCCAGCUUCACUCUUCUACUGUCUGGUACAUGCACGUGGGAAACACAACCAAAAACUCAAAAAUGGUCCACUGAAUAACAAAUCCACCCACUACUCACACAGACACAAUUCAUCAAACACCUUAACCUCAAACCAUAAACCAAAAAUAAACCAACUUAAAUCGCCUUAAGAGAGAAAUUCAGAGCAACAGAAGGGUAAUAUCUAAUCACACUACUGCCAUUGCCUCUCCAAAGCGAAAGAAUCCCUUCUUCUUAUACGGACAAUACAAUCAACCAUUCCUUUGAAUUUCCUGCGUCCAUUCCCUACAAUAGCCAAAUUGCUUUCUUGGGUUUGUAACAACACCUUUGCCCUCUCAAUUGGUGCAACCAUUGUGUGCACUACCCCUCCCAGCAAUGCACCUGCCAUCAGAUCUUUGUGAAAAUCUGUCAACCAUUUUACAGCCCUGAAGAUAUUGGCGGCUUUAACUUUCCCUUAUCUCCUGGAUCAUCAUCAUAUCUACUCAUUGUUAAAAUCAAGAGUUUAGAUUACGUUUUUCUCAAUAAAGAUUGAAUCUUUUGGGUUUCAAGAGAAACUCUUUUGUUGUCUCUCUUAUAGGAUCUCAAUGUAAAGGAGAAACAGUGAGUUUUAUGUUUAUUGCUUUUUGUUGGGAUUGGUGUGAGAGUUUCCAAGGGAACAAUCUUUUUCCCUCGCUCUUUCUUGAUAACUUUUUCUUUCAAUCUCUCUCUGGUUUGGGGAAAUAACGGGAAUUCAUACUAGGCCGUUCAUUUCCCAAUUUGUAGUUGAUGAAGACUAGCAGGCUUAUACAUGCUUUUCUUUUUUGUAUUUUUCAUUAGUAAUAAAC
rnacentral:lncRNA from 1 species